rnacentral:rRNA from 1 species
CCUACGCGUGGCAGCAGUGGGUAAUAUUGCACAAUGGGGGCAACCCUUAUGCAGCAACGCCGCGUGAAUGAAGAAGUAUUUCGGUAUGUAAAGCUCUAUCAGCAGGGAAGAGAAUGACGGUACCUGACUAAGCAGCCCCUGCGAACUACGUGCUAGCAGCCACCGGAAUACGUAGGGGCCGCGCGUUAUCCGGAUUUCCUGGGUGUAAAGGGAGCGUAGACGGUUCUGCAAGUCUGAAGUGAAAGCCCGUGGCUUAACCGCGGAACGGCUUUGGAAACUGUGGAACUGGAGUGCUGGAGAGGAGAGCGGAAUUCCUAGUGUAGCGGUGAAAUGCGUAGAGAUUAGGAGGAACACCAGUGGCGAAGGCGGCUUGCUGGACAGUAACUGACGUUGAGGCGCGAAAGCGUGGGGAGCAAACAGGAUUAGAUACCCGAGUAGUC